rnacentral:lncRNA from 1 species
CAGCCUGGCUACAGAGUGAGACUCUGUCAAAACAACAACAACAACAAAAAACUAGACUGCUCCUCUUUCUUCACAUUGUCAAAAAUUUUUAGUAUUUUCUUUCUGUUCUGUAACCACCAUUGAAAUGUCCAUAAUCUGUUCACUCUGCAAGGUGGAAAACUAAUAGGGAGAAUUUACCUUUCUGUGACUAUGUGCCCUGAGGACACUGCAGAGCAAGUGGCAUGCUAGGAUCCCUUCUCCCCUUGGCCAGGAUCAUGUUCACGUGUCACUCAGUGGAGAAUGUUCCUGGAGUGAAAUUGAAAUGGGGAUUCUACCUCCACUAGACCCUUGAUCAUCCCUCAUGUUUUCUGAGUUCUUAGUACUACCUGGUCAUUCAUUAUCCUGGCACCUGUGUUUCAUCUUGGCUUGCACCCUCCUUAUUGGGCUUUGUAAGUGUGCAGGACCCUGAAAUGCCAGAAUAUGCUGCUCUGGUUCUCCUUAGAAAAUGUGCUCGUGUUCUUUAGCACAGAAGCUUUGCAUUUUAGUUAGUUGCCAACAAUGAAACAAAAUUGAGAUAUUUCACACAAAUUCUAGAUUUCUG